ACCCCUGUGGCGGAACUGGUAGACGCGACAGAAUCAGAGUCUGUUGUCGAGAGAUGUGUCGGUUCAAAUCCGAUCAGGGGUACCA
rnacentral:tRNA from 1 species